rnacentral:rRNA from 1 species
UACGUAGGUGGCAAGCGUUAUCCGGAAUUAUUGGGCGUAAAGGGUGAGUAGGCGGUUAAUUAAGUCUGAAGUUAAAGGCAGUGGCUCAACCAUUGUAUGCUUUGGAAACUGAAUAACUAGAGUAUGAUAGAGGUCGGUGGAAUUCCACAUGUAGCGGUGAAAUGCGUAGAUAUGUGGAGGAACACCAGUGGCGAAGGCGGCCGACUGGAUCAAAACUGACGCUGAGGCACGAAAGCGUGGGGAGCAAAUAGG